UCAAGCUUGUCUUUCAGUAUCUUGCAGACUGUAAGAACAGGUAUGGUAAUGAGAAAAUCCAUGCUGUAAGUGGUGUGGAAAACUUGGUCAAGGCUUUUAAGGGAAUGAGAAUGCUGUUUAUUGUGUGGGAAAUAAGAGCUACCUGUUCCAGGUAGAAAAAGCAUGAAAACUCUGUGUGUGAUGAUUCCUUUUUGGUGAUGUGGCUACCACCCAGUAGGAAUUUGUCUGAGGAAAGGACUGUUGGUUGUGCCUCCCCAAAAUUGCUGUUGGUACUCUACAAGAAGUGUCAGGGCUCAGAACAGGUAGGACUGGUAUGCUGCUGGAUUAGCAUGGACGUUCAUCACCUCUGCUAAUGGCAGAUAAUCUUCCAGAAUAUGGUUUGCUCUCACUUUGCCUCAAUACUCCAUGCCCCACAAUGACUUUCUGCUGUAUGGGACCCUUAUUAGGCCAUGGCUGAGUCUGUCCCAUGGAUUCUGGAAAUGGGGAAGCAGCACAAAGAAAAGUGUAAACCAGAGAGGGAAUUUGUAAUCAAACAAACAAGCCAAAGGUAGAUUGGGGUAGUAGUGGGAAUAGAAAGACACAUUCUGAACAGAAAAGCUGAAAUCAAGGAGCUUAGAUCUGAUGUGGCAAAAGAAAGGAAGCCAGAAAAGACAAUUUUAAGGAUGACCCAGAUGGAGUAUGAGCCUAUUAUUUUAGUGUACUUCACAAUAACUAAUCUUUCUGUGCCAGGUUUUGGCCCCUCUAACAGUUGUCUCUGUGCUGCUCCAGUCAUGCAAAUCUGCACUAAAGGUGAAAUAAUGAGCAGGUGAAACUCAGUGAUUGAGCUAGUGAUGGCAAUACUUGAAGAGGAACCUCCUUUAUGUAAUUCUGCUUACAAGAGAAAAGGAACUUGCUAGGCAGUGCUAGGCAGCAAAGCCCAUCAUGCAUGCUUGUGCACAUCCAACAAAGUUACUGAUUUCCCUGUUUGCAGUGGUCAUGGGAUAGGAAGAACACUGAGCUGAACAUCACAGCAACCAUCUCACUCUCAAUAGAAGGGAGCACUUUGCAUGGGGAAGGUUUUCUGUGAGUUACCAACACCCAGUUCAACUCUGCUGUUAACAACAACAAGCUUCUGUGAGUGGGGAACCUUUGCUGGCAAUUAUUCCAAAUUCUAUCUCCAAAUACUCUUGCAUAAAGAUGAAGGAACAAGCAUUUUUUCCACACCUUGGCAUUGCCCAGAUAGCUAUCUCCUCCCUUACUCAUUCUUCUUAUGCUCCAGCUUACUUGAAACGAGAACACAUAUCACACACAAAAAGCCUGCAGAAAAACUGCAAUGGCUAUGGACUCGAGUGCUCAAAAAGUUAGGAAAUCCGGGAUUAAAGUUACCCAGGCAACGUUUGUGCAGAUGGGUUAUGAUGCAGCCUUCAUUUCCAAGUGCACAGACUGUUUCCUCAGGGUGCUCCCUGGCUCCACGGGCAGGAGGGAACCGCUCUGAGGCUGUGAAAGCAUCAAAACAGUUCUCUGCAUUAGCCCCUGCCUCGUGCGUUAAGGAAAGCAGGUAGCACAGAAGGAUUAUUUUUAAUAUAAAUCAUUUUCCCAAUCCUGUUUGCAGAACAGCCCUGCAAAACAGUGUGUGGAUGUGCUGCAGGGCAAGGGUAGGAAGGUGUGGGCUCUGGUGGCAGGGUGCAAGUCUUUGGAGCAAUGCUACAGCUGGAGCCCCAGAAGGUUGAACCACAGCCGGCUUGCAAAGGGACUGAGAGCUCACAACUGCAGCUGGGUUUUGUGCUUGGAAUAUAAAGUGCUGCAGCAUGCUAGGAACUGUGAAAACCCAAGUCCUUGUCAUUCUGUAUCAGGUACUCCAAAUCUUUUGCCUCUACUGUUUUCAGUAGGCAGCCUCUUGUCUACAAGAUACACGAUACCCACGGCAGUGCUGUGAAAACAAAUUUGCUGAUGUUUCUGAAGCAGCUAGAUAUGGUAUCUCACCGAAAGCCUUGAACUCAAAGUGGGUUUUAGUAAUUCUGCUCUCGGAGCGUGGUUUAAAUCCUGUGUACUAAAGACGAUCCAGGUCUAUCUACUGAGCAGAAGGAUAAAACAAAGCAUGAGAUGCUAAUUUGCUAAUUGAAGAAAGGAGGCAGGAAUCCUGUGAGAGAAACGAUCUACCUUGCAGGUCUCACACAAGGGAAAUUAAAACUUUAGAAGCAGCCUUUGUAAGGGCCUUUCCUGCAAUUGUAGCAGUAGUUCAGAAGUUCUUGUGCUCACGCUAUACGUUCACAGUCAUCUUUUGUAGCCUACGAGUCCCUGCUGACCUGAAAUUUUCUCUACAGAUAACAUUUUAUUGUUUUAACUAAUAGUCAGCCAUAAACUCAAUUAAACCAGAGCAAAUCUUGUGUACAGAUAUCUUGUUUUGGAAUAAGUUGUUUAUUUGAUUUGGCUGCCUUUGGUGUGUUUGUACAGGAUUGAAUUAUGAAAUACGAAAGUCUCAAACAUCUCCCCUCAACUUUAUAUUCUACAAACUCUUCUUGAUGGCUUACUAGCACAUUCCCAAGGAGACAGCAGUGCCUCCGGACAUCAGAUUCAUCACAGACUGUAGGGCAAAUGUUAUGGGUGGGAGAACAUUGGCAGCACAUCAGCGCAGGAGCGCCAAGCAGUGCUCACUAACAGACAUUCCUGUGAAGCUCCAUCACCAUUAUCCCCAUUACACGGAUUGGGAUUUGAAGCACGGCGAGAUGAAGCUGCCACACAGGUUGGCUGUGUCACAGCGAGGAGAGGAACCUGCAUUUUCCUCCGAUUGCUUUGCAACCUUGAUCACUGCUAGCAACACCCAUCACGACGCUUUUGUACACCUAUGCUCCAAAUAAAGACCUGUGUUUCCAUAA